rnacentral:rRNA from 1 species
GACGAACGCUGGCGGCGUGCUUAACACAUGCAAGUCGAACGGAAAGGCCCUGCUUGCAGGGUGCUCGAGUGGCGAACGGGUGAGUAACACGUGGGUGAUCUGCCCCUUACUUUGGGAUAAGCCUGGGAAACUGGGUCUAAUACUGGAUAGGACCAUGCUGUAGGUGGUGUGGUGGAAAGAUUAGUUUCGGUAAGGGAUGAGCUCGCGGCCUAUCAGCUUGUUGGUGGGGUAAUGGCCUACCAAGGCGUCGACGGGUAGCCGGCCUGAGAGGGUGGACGGCCACAUUGGGACUGAGAUACGGCCCAGACUCCUACGGGAGGCAGCAGUGGGGAAUAUUGCACAAUGGGCGCAAGCCUGAUGCAGCGACGCCGCGUGGGGGAUGACGGGCUUCGGGUUGUAAACUCCUUUCAGCCAUGACGAAGCCCUUGUGGUGACGGUAGUGGUAGAAGAAGCACCGGCUAACUACGUG